UAUAUAUAUAUAUAUAUAUAUUUGAGAUUAAUAAAAAUUGCUAUGUGAUUAUUAAAAUUAAAAUUUUCAUAAUAAAUCACACAAUUAUUCAUCUUUUCUACUGUUUUUUAAGAUUAAUGUGAUGUGAAGAACUGAAGAUCAGAUCAAGAUUAGUAUGACAAAACAAUUGAAAAAAAAAAGUAGCAUUGGAAAUGUAGUUUAUCUGUCUUUUAUGAGUUUAGGGCAUAUCCAACGUUAUAAUGUUCUUGCUGUUGCGGGUCAUAUAUGGUCUGCUGCUUAGCUCGAUGCAUCCUAUGGCUACUUAACUAUGUGUUUAUUU